rnacentral:lncRNA from 1 species
AUAGCACUCCCACUGGCAUCUCUGAUUUCUUGUGUCACACUUCCCCUGCCGUCUAUCACUUUGGGUGUCUGUGUAUUCACGCAUAACGUUUCCUCUGGCAUCAGCGACUUCGUAUGUAACACUCCCCAUGGCGUCUCCUACUUCGUGUUUCACAAUUCCCCUGGCAUCUCUGAAAUCAAGUGUAACACUCAUCAUAUCCUCUUGUACUUCAUGUGUAACUCUACCCAUGGCGUCUCUGAGUUCAUGUGUAAUACAACAUAUUGUUUCUCUGACUUCCUGUGUAACACUCCACAUUGCAUCUGUGACUUCUUCUGUGACACUCCCCAUGGUGUCUGUGCCUUCAUGUUUCCCAGUCACCCUGGUGUCUCUGACUUAGUGUAACAAUCACCUUCGUCUUUCUGACUUUGUGUGUAACACUCUUUCUGGUGUGUUUCACCUUGUGCAUAAUACUCCAAUGUGAUGUCUUUCCUCUUGUGACUAACACUCCACCUGGUGUCAGUGAGUUAGUGUAUCACACUCCCCCUGUGGACUUUGUUUUUUACUCUACCCCUCAUUUCUUUGACUUCGUUUGUAAUGCUCCCCCUGGCAUCUCUUAAUUCGUGUGUCACACUGCCCCUGGUGUCUCUGAGUCUGUGGGUAAUAUUCCCCAUGACGUCUCUGACUUCAUGUGUCACACACCAACUGUCACCUCUGACUUCGUGUGCAACACUCCCCUUGGUGUCUCUGACUUCCUGUGCCCCACACACCCUGGCUUCUCUGUCUUCUAGUCUAACACUCCAUUUGGUCUUUCUGACUUCCUGCAUAACACUACCCCUAGCAUCUCGGACUCUGUGUGUAUCACUCCACCUGGUAUCUGAAUUCAUGCGUAACACACCCCCACUCAGUUCUGACUUUGUGUGUAACACUCCCCCUGGCGUCUUUGACUUCAUGAGUAACACUUCCUGUGUCACCUCUGAUUUUGUGUAUCACAGUCCCAGUGGCGUCUCUGACUUGUUGUGUAACACUCCCCUUAGUGUCUCUGACUUUGUGUGUAACACUCCAUGUUACAUUUGUGACUUCCUGUGUGAUACUCCCACUGGUGUCUCUCACUUAAUGUGUAACACUCCACAUGGCGUUUCUGCUUUC